CGGCAACAGCCCGAAACUCAAAGGACUUGGCGGUGCUUUAUACCCUUCUAGAGGAGCCUGUUCUAUAAUCGAUAAACCCCGAUAAACCUCACCGGUCCUUGCUAAUACAGUCUAUAUACCGCCAUCUUCAGCAAACCCUAAAAAGGAACAAAAGUAAGCUCAAUUAUCAAUACAUGAAAACGUUAGGUCAAGGUGUAACCAAUGGAACGGGAAGAAAUGGGCUACAUUUUCUACUCUAAGAA
rnacentral:rRNA from 1 species